rnacentral:ncRNA from 1 species
AAAAAAAAAAAAAGGAGAGGUUAACACUACCCUUGACAGGGAUGGAAGAGGACCUUGGGCCUUAAAACAGGCAUACAGCUAAGGCAUUGCCACAUACUUUUUUUUUUUU